rnacentral:rRNA from 1 species
CACGUAGGGAGCAAGCGUUGUCCGGAUUUAUUGGGCGUAAAGAGCUCGUAGGCUGUUCGAUAAGUCGGGUGUGAAACCUCCAGGCUCAACCUGGAGACGCCACCCGAUACUGUCAUGACUAGAGUCCGGUAGGGGAGCGUGGAAUUCCUGGUGUAGCGGUGAAAUGCGUAGAUAUCGGGAGGAACACCUGUGGCGAAGGCGGCCACCUGGUUGGAUACUGACGCUGAGACGCGAAAGCGUGGGGAGCAAACAGG